rnacentral:rRNA from 1 species
UCCAGACUCCUACGGGAGGCAGCAGUGGGGGAUAUUGCACAAUGGGGGGAACCCUGAUGCAGCGACGCCGCGUGGGUGAAGGAGCGUUUCGGCGCGUAAAGCCCUAUCGGCAGGGAAGAAGAUGACGGUACCUGACCAAGAAGCCCCGGCUAACUACGUGCCAGCAGCCGCGGUAAUACGUAGGGGGCAAGCGUUAUCCGGAUUUACUGGGUGUAGAGGGGGCGCAGACGGCGAUGCAAGCCAGGAGUGAAAGCCCGGGGCCCAACCCCGGGACUGCUCUUGGAACUGCGUGGCUGGAGUGCAGGAGGGGCAGGCGGAAUUUCUAGUGUAGCGGUGAAAUGCGUAGAUAUUAGGAAGAACACCAGUGGCGAAGGCGGCUUGCUGGACAGUAACUGACGUUGAGGCUCGAAAGCGUGGGGAGCAAACAGGAUUAGAUACCCCGGUAA